rnacentral:sRNA from 1 species
UAAAAAUGCCCGCAUUAUGCGGGCGUUUGAUGAAUCAGAAUGCAUGCUAAGCCGGGUCUUUAAUCA